rnacentral:tRNA from 1 species
GCGGAAGUGGCGGAAUGGCAGACGCACCAGCUUGAGGGGCUGGCGGGGGCAACCCCGUGGAGGUUCGAGUCCUCUCUUCCGCACCA